rnacentral:rRNA from 1 species
GUGAGGAAUUUUCCGCAAUGGGCGAAAGCCUGACGGAGCAAUGCCGCGUGAAGGAUGAAGGCCUAUGGGUUGUAAACUUCUUUUCUUAGAGAAGAAUAUUGACGGUACCAGAGGAAUAAGCCCCGGCUAACUCCGUGCCAGCAGCCGCGGUAAGACGGAGGGGGCAAGCGUUGUUCGGAAUUAUUGGGCGUAAAGGGCUCGUAGGCGGACAGUUUAGUCAGAGGUGAAAGCCCAGGGCUCAACCUUGGAAUUGCCUUUGAUACUGGCUGUCUUGAGUACGGGAGAGGUGAGUGGAACUCCGAGUGUAGAGGUGAAAUUCGUAGAUAUUCGGAAGAACACCAGUGGCGAAGGCGACUCACUGGCCCGUUACUGACGCUGAGGCGCGAAAGCGUGGGGAGCAAACAGGAUUAGAAACCCCGGUAGUCC